GUGGGGAAUUUUGGACAAUGGGCGCAAGCCUGAUCCAGCAAUGCCGCGUGCAGGAAGAAGGCCUUCGGGUUGUAAACUGCUUUUGUACGGAACGAAACGGUCCGGGUUAAUACCCUGGGCUAAUGACGGUACCGUAAGAAUAAGCACCGGCUAACUACGUGCCAGCAGCCGCGGUAAUACGUAGGGUGCAAGCGUUAAUCGGAAUUACUGGGCGUAAAGCGUGCGCAGGCGGUUUUGUAAGACAGGGGUGAAGUCCCCGGGCUCAACCUGGGAAUUGCGCUUGUGACUGCAAGGCUGGAGGGCGGCAGAGGGGGAUGGAAUGCCGAGUGUAGCAGUGAAAUGCGUAGAUAUGCGGAGGAACACCGAUGGCGAAGGCAAUCCCCUGGGCCUGCACUGACGCUCAUGCACGAAAGCGUGGGGAGCAAACAGGAUUAGAUACCCGAGUAGUCC
rnacentral:rRNA from 1 species